rnacentral:rRNA from 1 species
AUUGAACGCUGGCGGCAGGCCUAACACAUGCAAGUCGAACGAGUGGCGGACGGGUGUGUAAUGUCUGGGAAACUGCCCGAUGGAGGGGGAUAACUACUGGAAACGGUAGCUAAUACCGCAUACCAUCGGAUGUGCCCAGAUGGGAUUAGCUAGUAGGUGGGGUAACGGCUCACCUAGGCGACGAUCCCUAGCUGGUCUGAGAGGAUGACCAGCCACACUGGAACUGAGACACGGUCAAGACUCCUACGGGAGGAAGCAGUGGGGAAUAGUGGACAAUGGGCGAAAGCCUGAUGCAGCCAUGCCGCGUGUAUGAAGAAGGCCUUCGGGUUGUAAAGUACUUUCAGCGGGGAGGCGUUACCCGCAGAAGAAGCACCGGCUAACUCCGUGCCAGCAGCCGCGGUAAUAC